rnacentral:rRNA from 1 species
AGAGUUUGAUCCUGGCUCAGGAUGAACGUUGGCGGUGUGCCUAAUACAUGCAAGUCGAACGGAGUUAAUAGCAAUAUUGACUUAGUGGCGAACGGGUGAGUAACGCGUUGGUGAUCUGCCUCGAAGUGUGGAAUAACGUUCCGAAAGGAACGCUAAUACCGCAUGUGCUCUCGAUUUUUAGAAAGUUGAGAGUAAAGGAUUUAUUCGCUUCGAGAGGAGCCUGCGUCCCAUCAGCUGGUUGGUAGGGUAACGGCCUACCAAGGCUAUGACGGGUAGGGGACCUGAGAGGGUGGCCCCCCACAAUGGAACUGAAACACGGUCCAUACACCUACGGGUGGCAGCAGUAGGGAAUAUUAGAAAUGGACGAAAGUCUGAUCUAGCAACACCGCGUGUGCGAAGAAGGCCUUCGGGUCGUAAAGCACUUUUUGGAAGGAAUAGGAAGGAAUGUACUUCCAGAAUAAGUCUCGGCUAACUACGUGCCAGCAGCCGCGGUAACACGUAGGAGGCGAACGUUAUCCGGAUUUACUGGGCGUAAAGCGCGUGUAGGUGGUUCUGUAAGUAGGGCGUGAAAGCUCCCGGCUCAACUGGGAGAGGCCGUUCUAAACUACAGAGCUAGAGGAUGGUAGAGGGAGGUGGAAUUCCAGGUGUAGCGGUGGAAUGCGCAGAUAUCUGGAGGAACACCAGUGGCGAAGGCGGCCUCCUGGACCAUUCCUGACACUCAGACGCGAAAGCUAGGGUAGCAAACGGGAUUAGAGACCCCGGUAGUCCUAGCCCUAAACGAUGUAGACUAGACGUCGGUGGUUUAAUCACCAUCGGUGUCCAAGCUAACGCGAUAAGUCUACCGCCUGGGGACUACGGCCGCAAGGUUAAAACUCAAAGGAAAUUGACG